AGCUACAAUCCCGAGAGCUCCCACGUGUCAGGGGUGCGCAGACGGUAGGCGCGGGGUGCAGGACUCCAAUUAUCAAUUCAGCCGAGCCCAGCGCUGGUAAAGGGGGCGUUUAGCUCGCCCGUUUCCUCCCUCCUCAAUCCCCACACAGUCAGUUUCUCGGUCCAAGUUUUACUGGUGCGGCCCAGCCCUACCGAGAGUACCCGAAUACACGUCUGCAGAGGACGCGGGCAUUGGGCCGGGUGAGCUACGAUGUUCUAACGAUCAGCAAAUGCCAAUUAAUCUGUUAAUUGUCUAUUAACAAUUAUUACUCGGUAAAUGUCAACCCAGACCUACACCCAAAGUGGGCUUGAGGGAGGGUGGACGAAGUGUAAACAUUUUUUCUUUUUUUUUUUUAAAUGAGAGAUGCCGCCCGCCUCUCCGGGCCUGCGAGUGGGCUGGCGGAUACCGGAGUCCCUGAGGUCACCGGCGGAGAUGAUAAUUUGAUGUGAUAGAAGAUGUGCGAAAAUGAAAUCAUCAUUUAGUUUGGAAACAACCUCAGUGUCCAUCAAUAAGAAAAAGAACUAUGGAAAGCCAUCCUAUAAAACCCUCUGCAAUUUAGAAAAGUUCUCCAAGACAAUUUGUUACAUGAAAAAAGCACACUGUGGCUGGGCACAGUGGCUCACGCCUGAAAUCCCAGCACUUAGCGAGGCUGAAGCGGGCAGAUCGCUUGAGGUCAGGAGUUUGAGACCAACCUGGCCAACAUGGUGAAACCCUGUCUCUACUAAAAUUACAAAAAUCAGCUGGGCCUAGUGGUGGGCACUUGUAGUCCCAGCUACUUGGGAGGCUGAGGCAAGGAGAAUCACUUGAAGCCAGGAGGCAGAAGUUGCAGUGAGCCUAGAUUGUGCCACAGCACUCCAGCCUGGGCGACAGAGCGAGAGUCCGUCUCAAAAAACAAACAAACAAACAAAAAACACUGAAGCCAAAAAACCCAAAAUGAUUCCAUUUCUGUAGAAAAUACCGUGCAAGGCAAAAUGACUAUAUGUUUACAAGGGCAUAGAAAGGUCUGGAAGAAGACAGUGAACUGACGGCAGCAGCUGCCUCCAGGGAGGGGGAAUGUGAAUGGAUAUGCAGUAUGGAAAACAUACAUACUUCCUAUAUUUCUGGAGUUUAUUUCUUUUUUCUUCUCUUGUUCUUUUUUGUUUGUACAAUGAGAAUUUAUUCAUGUGUUUCGUGUGUUAUUUUUUAAAAAGUGUGUUGUCCUUGCCUUUCUGGGGGUUAUUUUAGUGAAGGAUUUAUUUAGCUGCAGGGUUGGUGCCAAAAUGGGUGAUAAAGACUAGCCAGCCAGAAAAGGUGGGCAUUAUACUGCUGAGAAAGGAACUAGGAGCUUCAGUCAGGUCUUUGGGUCUGAGAGGUGACUUGCUGAAAUUAAUAUUAAAUUUAAAUUAAUAUUAAAUAUUAAAUUUAAGAAGAGUAACCCAAAGGCAGUAUGUGAGUAUAACUUGGAGAUCCCAGAAAGAAGGAAAUAGGUUGGAGGAUCUAGUGCUCCAAGAGGGGCUUCCUGGGUCGAGUAGAGAUGAAGGUUAUGAGCCAGGUUGUGGCCACUGGUCAGCUGGCUAAGUGCAAAGAUUUAUUCAGUCAAUAGUGUCAUAUUUGGAGGCCAUGGAUAAUAUCAAGCCCAGGCUUGAUUUUUGGAGAGAUAGUAGCCUGGUAGGGGAAUAACAUUAAUUAUAAAACCCUUACACAAUGCUCACUGGAUAUCAGACACUCUUUUUUUUUUCUUUUCUUUUUUUUUUUUUUUUUGAGAUGGAGUUUCACUCUUGUUGCCCAGGCUGGAGUGCAAUGGUGUGAUCUAGGCUCACCACAACCUCCACCUCUCGAGUUCAAGCGAUUCUCCUGCCUCAGCCUCCUGAGUAGCUGGGAUUACAGGCAUGAGCCACCAUGCGCUGCUAAUUUUUUAUCUUUAGUAGAGACAGGGUUUCUCCAUGUUGAUCAGGCUGGUCUCAAACUCCUAACAUCAGGUGAUCCACCCACCUCGGCCUCCCAAAGUGCUGGGAUUACAGGCGUGAGCCACUGUGCCCGGCCCCCAGACACUCUUUUAAGCACAUGGCAUUUAAUCCUUAUUAGAACGCUCUAAGGCAUGUAGUCUAUUAAUCCCCUUUAAGCGAUGAACAAACCUCCAAGAGGAGGUUUAAUCCCUUGUCCUAGGUCACAUGCUGAUAAGUGACAGAAACAUGAUUUGGAUCCAGGCUGUUUUAACUCCAGUGACUGUGCUCUUAACCAUUUGGCUGUCCUGCCAGACAUCAUAUGGAAAAUCUAAUACAGUGUGAUACGUGUAUUAUGGAGAUGGGAAAGGAGAGGAGGGUGAAGUUCAGCACUUCCUGGGCAAGUGUGAGGAAGACAUCAAGAAAAAGCAAGAGUAGGAAUGUGACAACCAAAGAAGAGGGUAAAGACUGCAGUCCAGAGAGAGGGCAGCGUAUACCCGAAGGUACAGAGCUCCUGAAACUUUCCUACCUUGGGGAGUCUUCUGUCCUCUCUCCUCUAGGAACCAUCCUUGGAUCCCUGCUGGCCUCCUUUCUGAACCCGCUGUUGAGGCAGAGUUGCAUAUACAGCAUUUCUCCUAGGACUGUUUGUUCUUAGAUCUCUAUCCCUUAGUGAGAAGUGAAGAAAGGCAGAGGGGAGAGAGUCCGGAAUAAUCUCCUUAUUCUCCAUCCCCACAUCCCUAAGUCUGAUCUGAGAUUCCCCCAAAGAGCCUCGUCCACGCCAGCCUAACCCAACAGACAGUGUGGAUCACUGAGAACCAGCAAAAUUGACAUAACCUUGAGGCCUCAAAUAAUACAUUCCUUUCCUUUGACAUCAGUUUUGUCAGAUUAAAAAUCCAAUAACAGACUGUCAUUGAGUCCAAGAAAAGAGAUGGUAAUAAAAGGGAGAAUCUGACUCCAUAAUGGAAAGCAGGUGAUUUUUAAAAUUGGUUCCUCCAGCUGUCUAUGCUACAGAAAUUCCAAGAAAAAGUAGAAAAGCUGCUCCUUCCCCUUCUGUCUUCUCCGACUUGGUUGUGGCCCCGUUACUGCCCUGUUUGUCUUGCUUCGACUCCAGGAGGUGUCCUUAUGUCUCCCUCCCUCCAGCUUAGCCAAAUUCUGUGCGUCCUGCACACCUAGCUCACCACGCCAUCCCUGCUGCCCCUGCCUUCACCAAGGGCCUACACAAGUCACCUAGGGACUCUGCCUUCCACCACCUCACCAGCCUCUCCCUCCUCCAGCCCCUGUUUCACUGUCUCCACAGCAUAAACAUAAAUAAUUCUGGCAAAUGAAUAGCUGAUCUACCGUGUAAUGAGUGCUAUAGCAUUGAGUAAUAAGAUGCAAACCAUUUACCUUAUUGGUGCAUUCAUCAAGUGUGAAAAUAUUUACUGUAUGCCCAGCCUUGGGCUAGGUCCAUUGUAAAUUCCUUCGAAUAAGAUGAAACUUAUUUCAGACUACUUCAGGGGGUCUCAUGGAAAACAGGGGUGGGCAGUGUCCACAGGCCUGAGACCCCUAGAAUCAGGAGCUGCAAACCUCCAGUAAACAGGCAACUUGUGCUCUCCAAUUAUUUGUCAUAGAGUUUAUUUAACCCUUCCCCUUUCUGCAAACUGGCUCUUACUGCUUUCCAGAGCCCAAGGUCAAAGGUAGCCAGCCUGCAGAUUUUGAGUUUAUCAUCCUGUGUUCCAGCUGCCUCUCCUGAGGGAUGAGGCACUGCCAGAUCUCAGAUUUAAGCCAAAUCUCAGAAGAGAGAAUCUGACUGGACAGCUUAGGUCACGUGACCAUUCCCAGUCCAUUAAGCUAAGGCCACACAGACAGGCUCACUGGGUGGAAACAUGGCUGCCACUCGUCUGCCCUUGUGGGUGGGUGGGAGGAAUUCUGACAAGAGCAGUUUGGGGCUGGCCAGAUACUCCAAAAGUUGUCUGUUAUGUGUGGUUGGUUGGUUGGUUUUUUAAGACUGGGUUUCACUCAGUUGCCCAGUCUGGAGUGCAGUGGCAUGAUAUGUAGCUUACUGUAACUCGAACUCCUGGACUUAAGUGAUUCUCCGGCCUCUGUCUCUUGAGUAGCUGGUACCAUGGGCACCCGCCACCACACUAGGCUGAUUUUUUAUUUUUUGUAGAGACAAGGUCUGGCUAUGUUGCCCACAUUAGUGUCGAACUCCUGGGCUCAAGUGAUCCUCCUGCUUCAGCCUCCCAAAAUGCUGGGAUUACAGGCAUAAGCCAUGGCACCCAGCCUAUUAUGUGUUUUAAGGAAAGACAUGACCUCUGGCUUCUCAGCACUUAAGCCCCGUUGGGGAAAUUAAAUGGUAAGUUGAGGUUAUUUCAAAUGAAUGCAAAAUCUUUGAUUUUGUGGGAAGAAUUUAGAGUUUAUGAUGGACGUAUUGAUCUUGACUUUAAGGGAUCAUACGCCUUUGAGUUUUAGAGAGAAUGCUUAUUUCAAAUAAGAAUAGAAGGAUCAUAGGUUCCUAAAAGGAAUGCAUGAGGGCAGGAGACGGUCUUCAAAGUGGAUUCCAUUUUGAGUGCUGAGAGGUGAGAUUAGGUGGAAAAGUGGGAACAUUCAUCAAAAGGAUUUGAACAACAAAGACCUAAGUUUAGACUUGGCCUUAACAACAGGGAAUUCGGAUGGCUAAAAUGGAAAAUGGGUGUGUUCAGGAGUCACCCAGACUUGGUGAUUGUUAUUUUUGAGACAGGAUCUUGUUGUGUUUUUCAGGCUGGAGUGCAGUGGCCCAAUCAGGGCUCACUGUUGGCUUGAUAUACUGAGCUCAAGCGAUCCUCCUGCUUCAGCCUCCCAAGUAGCUCGGACUAUAGCCAUGCACCACCCCACCUGGCUAAUUUACAGACUUGGGUUUGAGUCUGUCCCUUUCUGUAGUUUAUGGGAGUGGGCAAUUUUCUUAACUGCAGAAUCUCAGUAUCUUCAUCUGGAAAAUGGCAAUAAUCAUACUGGUGGGUAAUGGGCAUCUGUGGUUUUGUCUUUCCAGCAUCCAUAUCCAUUCCGACUCUUUAAAAAAAAAAAAAACAGAAAAACAGAGUCUUGCUCUUUUGCCUAAGCUGGAGUACCGUGGCAUGAUCUUGGCUCACCAUAACCACUGCCUUCCAGGUUCAAGUGAUUCUCAUGCCUCAGCCACCCAAGUAACUGGGACUACAGGCACAUGCCACCACACCCGGCUAAUUUUUGUAGUUUUGGUAGAGAUGGGGCUUCACCAUGUUGGCCAGGCUGGUCUUAACUCCUGGCCUCAAGUGAUCUGCCCACCUUGGCCUCCCAAAGUGCUGGGAUUACAGGCAUGAGCCACUGUGUCUGGCCCAUUCCCACUCUUGAUAAACAUUCCUUGGUGUCACUUUGGGGAACUACAUUGUGUGGUUUGGGUAGGAUUGACUUCACCUCACAGCUAGAAAACGGACACAUGACACUGGCCAGGGCCACCCAUGCAGCACCUUCCUCAGGACCCUUUCCCUUCAUCCAUUGGAAAUUGUUUUAUUUCAUAUACAGAUUUAUGAUAUAUAUGGUGUGAAUGGUGCCUCUUUACAUGUGGUGCUGUGUAUAUUACACAACCUGUCCAGCCAUACAAAGCUGCUCUGACCCUGGCUAACUAGAGCAGUCUACCCUUGGCCACAGAUCAGGGAAAGGGAAGUGACCCAGGCCAAUGGGAGAUAAUUGCUUGCUAGAAAAGUGGUGAUGGAUUUCCUAAGCUCAGUGUUCUUUGGUUGCAAUGUAAAUGUAACCGUGUGCAAAGUAUCCAUCUGAGCCAUGCUGUGUCACCGUGGAAGGACAUGGUGUCUCGGGAUCCUUGGGCUGUCACCUUGCCAGCUGGAAACCUUGUGUGCGACAGUGCCUCCUGCCUGAGUAUUGCUAAUGCCCUCUGGGCUCAUUCUACCCACUCGGCCUGGCAGGCUGUGCUCAGCUUGCGCUACCAGCCCAGAUCCCAUACCUGCCAAGGGCAAGCUGGACACGGAGCAGUGAUGGGUGUGUGGGUGAGCGAGUGUGGGUUCAAGCUACUACGCACAGCUAGGCAUGCCGGCUGCUGUGAUGGGGCGGGCACUUCCAGGCACCAGCACAGGUGCCAGCUCUGUGGAAGGCUGCUGCUGGACCAGAUGUACCACAUACGGCUUCGGCUGCGGGCACCUGCAUCUGGAUGAGGGGAACUUGGUGCCCAAUAGCUUGGAGAUGCCAGGAACCACAGAGCCCCCAAAGAAGGUGUCAAAGCCCUGGCGUGGGGACGCCCUAAAUCUGGAUUCCCCGAAGGGCUACUGGUCUUUUCUCCUUCUCGUCGCCCACAAUGUGGCAAGCAGGGGGUCAUGUUUCAGCCCUGUUUUUGUUACGGCACUUUGAGUCCUGCCAUUUGGCAGGUCCUGAGUUCUUGUCCCAUGUCUGGGGAGAAUGAGGUACCAGACAACUGGAGGGUGAGGAAGGUGGAGAGGAGCUUCACUGAGCAACAGAACAGCUCUCAGGAGACCUGCAGUGAGUAGCUCCUUUCCGCAGCUGGUAGUCCUGAUGUCUGUGUGAGUCUGGCUUUUUAUGGGCUCAAAUGGGAGGAAGUGCAUGCUGAUUGGUCCAUGGGCUGCCAUGGGCAGCCCGGAAAAACCACAAGUUCUCACUCUGGGCCUUGGACUCCACCUGGAAGUGGCAGCCCAGCCCCCAGGCUUCAGGCUGUCCUGGCUUGAAGGUGGGGUUUCACCAGG
rnacentral:lncRNA from 1 species